AUGGCCGAAGCUUGAACUUAACCAACCCCAAUAUACAAGUAAGCCCAACCCCCCAAAAAAAACCCUUAACUUUGUAUCUCCAUAUCCGAACCCAUAACCAGAAGAGAAAACACCUUCUACAGGACGAGGCUCUAGUGCGGCACACGGCCAAACCACAACGCCGGCGGGGAGAAAGAUCCUCAUGAAGUACCAAUGGGGAUGAGAUACGGCUACAUCGCCUAAAAGAAGAAACCCCACAAGCUACACCCCAAGGAUUUGCCAUCAAUCUAGGACACAAUCAAAACCAUGAUGCACUGGGUUGAGCACCGAAACCAAAGGAGUUGUAGACUCUUUUCUAGGGAAGAAACAAGCACCUCUAGUGCGGCACACGGCCAAACCACAA
rnacentral:misc_RNA from 1 species